GACAAGGGGUCCAAGCGUUGUUCGGAAUCAUUGGGCGUAAAGCGGGUGUAGGUGGCUCUGUAAGUCAGGAGUGAAAGCCCCAAGCUUAACUUGGGAAGUGCUUUUGAUACUGCAGAGCUUGAAUGUGGGAGAGGGUAGUGGAAUUCCAGGUGUAGUGGUGAAAUACGUAGAUAUCUGGAGGAACACCGGUGGCGAAGGCGGCUACCUGGCCCAACAUUGACACUGAGACCCGAAAGCAUGGGGAUCAAACAGG
rnacentral:rRNA from 1 species